CAUGCAAGUCGAACGAUGAUCCGGUGCUUGCACCGGGGAUUAGUGGCGAACGGGUGAGUAACACGUGAGUAACCUGCCCUGGACUCUGGGAUAACCCCGAGAAAUCGGAGCUAAUACCGGAUAUGACCUUGGACCGCAUGGUUUGGGGUGGAAAGUUUUUUCGGUCUGGGAUGGACUCGCGGCCUAUCAGCUUGUUGGUGAGGUAAUGGCUCACCAAGGCGUCAACGGGUAGCCGGCCUGAGAGGGUGACCGGCCACACUGGGACUGAGACACGGCCCAGACUCCUACGGGAGGCAGCAGUGGGGAAUAUUGCACAAUGGGCGCAAGCCUGAUGCAGCAACGCCGCGUGAGGGAUGACGGCCUUCGGGUUGUAAACCUCUUUUAGUAAGGAAGAAGGGGCCUCUUUCGGGGUCUUGACGGUACUUGCAGAAAAAGCACCGGCUAACUACGUGCCAGCAGCCGCGGUAAUACGUAGGGUGCGAGCGUUGUCCGGAAUUAUUGGGCGUAAAGAGCUCGUANGCGGUUUGUCGCGUCUGCUGUGAAAUCCCGAGGCUCAACCUCGGGUCUGCAGUGGGUACGGGCAGACUGGAGUGCGGUAGGGGAGAAUGGAAUUCCUGGUGUAGCGGUGGAAUGCGCAGAUAUCAGGAGGAA
rnacentral:rRNA from 1 species